UACAGAGGUCUCAAGCGUUGUUCGGAAUUACUGGGCGUAAAGCGCACGUAGGCGGACUCUUAAGUCGGUGGUGAAAUCCUGGAGCUCAACUCCAGAACUGCCUUCGAUACUGAGAGUCUCGAGUCCGGGAGAGGUGAGUGGAACUGCGAGUGUAGAGGUGAAAUUCGUAGAUAUUCGCAAGAACACCAGUGGCGAAGGCGGCUCACUGGCCCGGUACUGACGCUGAGGUGCGAAAGCGUGGGGAGCAAACAGG
rnacentral:rRNA from 1 species